rnacentral:rRNA from 1 species
GAACGCUGGCGGCAUGCCUUACACAUGCAAGUCGAACGGCAGCACGGGUGCUUGCACCUGGUGGCGAGUGGCGAACGGGUGAGUAAUAUAUCGGAACGUACCUUAUCGUGGGGGAUAACGCAGCGAAAGCUGCGCUAAUACCGCAUACGCCCUGAGGGGGGAAAGCGGGGGGACCGUAAGGCCUCGCGCGAUUAGAGCGGCCGAUAUCUGAUUAGCUUGUUGGUGGGGUAAAAGCCCACCAAGGCGACGAUCAGUAGCUGGUCCUGAGAGGACGAUCAGCCACACUGGGACUGAGACACGGCCCAGACUCCUACGGGAGGCAGCAGUGGGGAAUUUGGACAAUGGGCGAAAGCCUGAUCCAGCCAUGCCGCGUGAGUGAAGAAGGCCUUCGGGUUGUAAACUGCUUUUGUACGGAGCGAAAAGGCCCUCUCUAAUACAGGGGGUUCAUGACGGUACCGUAAGAAUAAGCACCGGCUAACUACGUG